rnacentral:lncRNA from 1 species
UCAGAAUCUGGUAGAGCUCCUGGAGCAACCUGCAUGAUGUCACUGCUAUAGCACUAUGAUUUUCAUAUUACAUACUCUUGAGACACUUUCCAGAGUAUAUAUGGCUAUGUUAUAGCAUGCUUUGAGAACUAGAUUAAGUAAUUCCUGCAAGGCAAACCAAGUGAUGAUGAGCUCUCUCAGCUUCUGUUUGUCUGAUAAACUUUCUAUUCUCUCUCACUUCUGAAGGAAAGCUUUGCCAGCUAACAAUGAUUCAUUAACCGGGCGGCUCCAAACCAGAAGUGAUCUGAGAGCUCCACCAAGUGAAAUGCAACAGGGAAGCUUUUACAAUCCUAUCAUUGAGGUGAAUAACAACAUCAAGAAGAAAAUGGAAGCUAUCAGAAAAGCCUCUACCAUCCCCACCACAUCUACCUGUCUACCUGUGUGUGUUCCUAAACUCCAGCUUCUCUCAUGAAAGAACUCUCCAUGCAUCUGGCUUAAGGUCAUCCCAUCCCUGAUCUCCACUUAAGGUUCAUGGCUGGAGGGAGCUUGCCUUGAGACUCAAAUGAGAUUUUGAACUUUAAACGAUCGAGUUGUUGCUGAAACAGGUAAGACUUUGCAGCUAUAGGGUGAUUGUAUUUCGUACUUGAAAAAGACAUGAGUUUGAGGGGCCAGGGGCCGAAUGCUAUUGGUUUGACUGUGUCCCCUCUGAAACUUAUGUUGAAAUUGGAUUCCCAAUUUGGCAGUGUUUGGAGGUGGGCCUACUGCGAGGUGUUUGAAACAUGGGAGUACUGCCCUCAUGAAUAGAUUAAUGCUGUCUUAAAGGAGUAAGUUCUUGCUCUUGCAGAAAUUAAUUAGUUCCCAUGAGAGUGGGUUGUUAUAAGUGAGCCCAGCCUCUCAUGCGUGUCCCUUUGCACUCAUCUGCUCGCCUUACUGCUUGUCUGCUAUGUUGUGAUGUAGCACAUGGCCCUAACUAAAAGGUGAGCAGAUAACAGUAUCAUGCUCUUGGACUAGAAUUGUCACCAGAAUUGUGAAACAAAUGAAUCUAUUUUCUUUAUAAAUUACCCAGUCUCAGGGAUUCUGUUACGGCAACACAAAAUGGACAAAGACAGGAGGUAAUUAGCAUUAGAUAAGAUCCUCAGGGUAGGAACCUCAUGAGAUUGGCAGCUUUAUAAGAAGAGGAAGAGAGACCUGAGCUGGAACAUUUGCUCUGUCUUGCCACAUAAUGUCUCUUGCCAAGUCAUGACACAGCAGGAAGGCCCUCAUUAGAUACCUGUGCCAUGCUCUUGGACUUCCCAGCUUCCAGAAGAGUGAGCUAACUAAAUCUCCAUUCUUUAUAAAAUUACCCAUUCUGCAGAAUUGAAAUAUCGCAACAGACAAUAUUUUAAGACAAUUACAUCUUCAGACAAUUAAGGCAUAAUUAAAACAAUAGAAAUGUUGAACUUACAGAAUGCAGGUGGUGGGAUUAUUGAGAAGGUGCUGGUCAAAAGACAUAAAAUUUCAGCUGGAUAAACCUAGAGUUUACAAGGGUAUUGGGAAAUGGAUUUUAAAAAAAUACUUCUGGGAGAGUAAUGUUGCAGGCUUUCAAAAAAGCAGUUUGCGUUAAUUAAGGUUUUUAAUUCUGUAUACUUCUAGGGAUUUAUUCUAAGGGAAUUCAUAUGAUUCACAUACAGAUUCCAAUAUACUAAUCUCAGCAUUAUGUAUACUAAUGCAAAUUUGAAAGCAAUGAACAUUGAUUUAAUAAACUGUCACAUUCAUAUAAUACCAUGUAGGUAUUAACAUAGUAAGAAAAAAAGUAUUCUAAUAUGAAAAGCUAUAUUCAUGACAAAUUAUUAAUUUAAAAUCAAGUUAAAUGGUUUAUUUAUAAUAAUCCUUUCUUUCUCAUAUCUCUUUAUAUGCAUGUAGACAGGAUACCAAAAUGUUAGCAGUGAUAUUCUCUGGGUAGUGGG